rnacentral:lncRNA from 1 species
GUUCUUCCGCCAGCGCCCAUCGUGAAGACCACAGUUUCCUGUCGCGUGGAUGUGUUUCCUCUCUGGCCAUUGCCAUCCGCCCAAAUCUACAGACAUCCCGCAUGUUCCCGGGCUCGUCUCCCCAAUACAGGGCACCAAGGCUGUAGACUGCGCAGCCCUCCUGGAGACAGAUGGAAGCUCCUUGGGUCGACAGAUUACAGCUUCUGGAACCCCCUACUCCCUUCAACUCCGAGAUGGACACCCACUGUCCAGGGAGAGGAUGCCUGGAAAUAACAGCUGGGAUCUACAGUGGCCAAAGAGUUGUCUCCGUCUUGCUACAUCGACAAACUGGUGCUCCUGAGUGAGGAUUGUGCCCUGGGAUGGGGGAUUCAGUUUCUUCAUUUAUAGUUGGAAGUGGGUGAAGGUGAGUGCCAGGAGCGACGGUACACUCCAGAGUGCUGUGCCCUGAUGGGCCUUUGAGUGGCCAGUGCAGUGGAUCAUCAGCCCUGUCUCCCAAGAGCUCCAGUCCCUUCUCCGGAGAGGAAGUGGGUCCACUGGCAGCUCAGGAGGCCAUAGCAGGAUUGUCACGUGUGCUCAACAGUCCUCCUCGGCUUUCCAGAAGAGGCUGGAACAGGGCCCUUGAAGAUGUUUGUGGACAUCAGAGGGCCAAAGACGACACAAAGUGAAACUGGAGACACCGCCCCCCCUUGGCAUCAUGAAACUGCCGAUGUUACUGGCUCAUGCAUGGGAGACACCAGCAUACAAAGUCUUGACACCAACACCUCAGAGGGCUGUGUUCUGUCCCCGUGACCAUCAUCUAGUGCCUGGAAAGACUAGUGACAAGAACUUGUUGCCAACUUCCUAUUACCUCCCUAACAGUUGUGCAAUAAACCCCAUAGGUUAAUUCAG